GCGGGAGGGAGAGACAGAGAAAGAGAGCCAGGGACAACAAUGUCACAUUAGAAAGUGAACAAACUAUGGAUUUUGUCAGCCUCCAUCCUUUCCAGCUGUCGGCCUUACCAUCCCAAACAACAUGUUUUUGAGUGACAGAGGAGAGGUUUUAUCAGGAGUCCCAGACUCCCCUGUGCACGGUAGUGGUCAACGUUGGCGCAGGAGAAGAGGAGAUUACUUGAAAGGAAACAAUAGCAUACACAGUGAAUUUUGCUGGCCCAGUCCACUCAGUCGAACCACUGGAUCGUGUCCAUCCAUCUGACCACCCUCGGGCCUCCAAACCUCCAAAAACUCCUCUCCUCAAUAUCCCGGACGAGCCCCCAAAACUGUCCCGAUUUCCAAAUAUUGAGGAUAAGAACAAACCAACACUG